CCUACGGGGGGCAGCAGUGGGGAAUAUUGCACAAUGGGCGAAAGCCUGAUGCAGCGACGCCGCGUGGGGGAUGACGGCCUUCGGGUUGUAAACCUCUUUCAGCAAGGAAGAAGCGAAAGUGACGGUACUUGCAGAAGAAGCGCCGGCUAACUACGUGCCAGCAGCCGCGGUAAUACGUAGGGCGCAAGCGUUGUCCGGAAUUAUUGGGCGUAAAGGGCUUGUAGGUGGCUUGUCGCGUCUGCCGUGAAAACUCGAGGCUUAACCUUGGGCGUGCGGUGGGUACGGGCAGGCUAGAGUGCGGUAGGGGAGACUGGAAUUCCUGGUGUAGCGGUGAAAUGCGCAGAUAUCAGGAGGAACACCGAUGGCGAAGGCAGGUCUCUGGGCCGUUACUGACACUGAGAAGCGAAAGCA
rnacentral:rRNA from 1 species